CUGUAGUUGGACCUUUAGCUAUUCUGUUAACAGCGGCCACAAUCUAUAUUGUUCGGUUGAGAAUGAGACUUGCAUCGUUCCUGGCAAGAGAAACCUCACAAGACAACGACUAUACAGAUAUCAACACAUUGGAACUACGACAGUCAAACAUCUAUGAACAACUGGAGAGACCA